UUGUCGUCUUCUUUGCGAGCACGCGCCUCGCGUGAGUCCUUCCUUCCACCUGCUCCUUUUCCCUCUGCUUUAUCUUUCCUCCUGGAGCCAGCAACACGACGCAGUUCCUAGCCACUCCGUCUGGUUUCCUUUUCCCCUCCUCCACGAAAGAAAAACCAGAGAAGAAAAAGAAACCAUGGAAACCAUGGCUGCCUCGUCGCCUCGCCGUUCCGUUCGUCCCCGACCCUUCUCGAGGACGCCACGAGUUCCCCUUGAACGCCUGCUUCCUCUCCGCGCAAGGAAUUGAAUCGGGAGGCCUCCAGUCAAGCCCAAGAUCGCCAAUUCCCCGCGCCGGCGGCCGCAGUCCAUCGAUGUUCCCGCCGCUGUACGACCUCCUCCGGCACAUCCGAGAGCAGUUCGCGUUCUUGGUGUCCGUCUCCGGCGACGCUCUGGUGUUCCCCGCUCCCAGUACCGCCCCCAUCAGGUUCAGCGCAUCCAGGCGCAUCCCCUGCGACCACUCACUCCUCCUGGUUCGCUCCCAGCGAUCGAAUCCGUCCGCGACCAGCAGCUCUGUCCGUGUACGCCAUGGUUCCAAACCUCCAACUUUAUUCAGUUUCGUCAGUCUUGCUACACUGUCCAGAAAACCUUUUAAUCGUCGUGCGUCUCCAUCUGUUCAAUACCUGAGCCGUAGCCAGACUGCUUGAUCACACGGCAAGAGAUGUUUCAAUUUGCAUAGAGCCUUUCCAAGAUCGACAUCAGCUAGCAGCUUAGCUGUUUCGUUUGCUAUGUCUCCGAACGACAGGUCAUGUGCUCAAUUCUAGGGGAAGCAAUACAACGUCUUCCCUGUUUCUUCUUUUUGCAGAUAUGUCAAAAUUCAUACAUCUUGUUUUAUAAAUCCAAAUGACACAAAUAAUAUAUCUAUUUUUAUCAGAAAAAUGAGAGGAACAUGAAUAUGCCAUCCAUGAUUGCUGUUGCAUCUUGCAUCAUAUAAUUUCAUGCUAGUUUACAUUAUCACCUAAUAGAUAACAUAUGGAAUAUGUGGGAUACUAUAUAAAUGUUGUCCCGGUUCCAUUUAACUUUGUUGUAGCUCACCCCUGCCAUGUUGCUAUGCUAAUCCACCCUUAACUUUGACGGUAGAAAUGGAACUCCAAUCUUAAUUGUUUGUCCGGGGUUCCGACUCCGCUUAAUCUGGAAAAGUGCAUUGCAUCAUCGUUGCCAUGUCAUGCAUAUUAUUUUGAUCAUGCUGGAUCUUCUUCCGUAGUAGUAAGACUUGCAUCCGUUGUGUUUUUCCAACAUUGCUUCUUCCCGGAUAGGAUCACGAAGUGUUGACGUGAGAUACGACGAGUUCUCCGACAAGUUCUUCUGCAGCUUUUCACAG